rnacentral:sRNA from 1 species
AAAAAUUGUUUGAUGACCGCAAUAUUGAAACAAAAGUUUAACAAUAAAAUAGCUAAAGAUAUUGUCUUUGUAUCAACAUUGGUCUCUGGUAAGCCAUGGCGGCCGCUUGCAAGGUUUUCAGAUGGUUUUUCUUUUGCGGGGAGGAACGUUGGUGUCCAGCUGGUCAAUGGGCAUCGUCUGCUAACAAUUACCCAGCGGACCGAUGGAGAUUGCUGUGUUGGAUCUUCCUGCAUACGUUUGUUUGGUCCAGAACUAGCCACACUUUGUUCAACUUCGUAGCCGUCAUCUUCCUCAUUUGCUGCGUGGGGAUCGCCGUCACAGCUCACACGAUGGGCAAUCACGACGUCCGGGGCGCCGUGAGAGGAUUUUUCGCUCUGCUGGUGAUUAACGUCGUCAACGGCGGACUGAUAUUGGUGACGUCACAUCGGGCCUACAUCGCCUAUGAACAUUUGCUGAGGAAACUGCU